GACGAACGCUGGCGGCGUGCUUAACACAUGCAAGUCGAACGAUGAAGAAGAGCUUGCUCUUCGGACUAGUGGCGAACGGGUGAGUAACACGUGACUAACCUGCCCCUUUCUCUGGGAUAACGCUCCGAAAGGAGUGCUAAUACCGGAUACUCACAUCGAGGCACAUGCCUUGAUGUGGAAAGUUUUUCGGAAAGGGAUGGAGUCGCGGCCUAUCAGCUUGUUGGUGAGGUAACGGCUCACAAAGGCGACGACGGGUAGCCGGCUUGAGAGGGCGACCGGCCCCACUGUGACUGAGGCACGGCUAAGACUCCUACGGGAGGCAGCAGUGGGGAAUAUUGCACAAUGGGCGAAAGCCUGAUGCAGCGAAGCCGCGUGAGGGAUGAAGGUCUUCGGAUUGUAAACCUCUUUCAGUAGGGACGAAGCGAAAGUGACGGUACCUAAAGAAGAAGCACCGGCUAACUACGUGCCAGCCGCCGCCGUAA
rnacentral:rRNA from 1 species